rnacentral:rRNA from 1 species
GUUUAAUUGCUUGUUAGUUUACUAAUUUAAGUAUAUAUAAGAAAAAUAAUUUUAAAGAAUAAAAAAGUUAAGUAAUGUUUAAUGAAAUAUAAGUGAAACUAAAGAGAAAAAGUACUGUAAAGGAAAGCAAAAAAAAGAUAAAAUAGUAAAAGUAAAUGUUUGUACCUUGUGUAUUAGGGAAAAUCUAUAAAAUUCAACUUUUAUGGUAAUCCCGAAAUAAAAACAGCUAAUUUUUAUAAAAAGUUUUUGUAGAAACUAAAUUUUAAAUUAAAAAUUAAAGGUGAAACAUCAAUCGAGUUUUAUGAUAUCUGGUUUUCUAAAAAAGAAUUUAAUUCUGUCUUUGUAUGAUUACUAUACAAAGAGCAAGUAUAGGAGGGAUUAGCUUCUUAUAAAAAGUAAAAAGAAGAGUUUGAUAAGUCGAGAAAUCUUGAAUUAGGCUUAAAAGUAGCUAUAUUAGUAAAGUGUUUCAACUAAAUUUUAAAUAAAAAAUAUUUAUUAAAACUUUCGGAAAAUAUUGGAAAAUUGAUUUAAAUAGAAAAAAUUGAGAUAUAAUGGUUUUAUUAGUAAAAUUAUAAUGUAAACAAAAGAAGUUAAAUAAUUUAGAUAAUUUAAUAAUAAAUUGGUAUUAUAAAGGAACUCGGCAAACAAUUUCUUUGCCUGUUUAUCAAAAACAUGUCUGUUUGUAGGUGUAAAUAGUCUAGCCUGCCCACUGAUAAAUAUUAAAGGGCCGCGGUAUUCUGACCGUGCAAAGGUAGCAUAAUCGUUAGUUUCUUAAUUGGGAUCUUGUAUGAAUGGUUGGACAAAAGAGAAUCUGUCUUUAUAGUUGGCAUUGAACUUAACUUUUAAGUGAAAAGGCUUAAAUAUAUUAAAGGGACGAUAAGACCCUAUAAAGCUUGAUAUUCUUUUAGUAUUAAGUCUAAUUCGAGGGCUAUAAAGGCUUGGUGCUUAAAUUUUAUUAUAUUGGGGCGAUAAAAGUAAAAUGAAUAAUAACUGCUUUAUUUUUGGACAAAAUUUAAUGAUUAGUGUGUAACAAAAGAUCCUAAAUAUAGAUUUAAAGAUUAAGUUACUUUAGGGAUAACAGCGUUAUUUUUUUUGAGAGUUCUUAUCGAAAAAAAAGUUUGCGACCUCGAUGUUGAAUUAAAAUUUCUUUACAAUUGCAGGAGUUGUAAGAGAAGGUCUGUUCGACCUUUAAAAUUUUACAUGAUUUGAGUUCAGACCGGCGUGAGCCAGGUCGGUUUCUAUCUUUUAAAUAUAACAGUAUUAUUUUAGUACGAAAGGAUUAAAUAAUCAAAAUUAUUUUUGUAAAUGGAAACUAUUUUGGCAGAUUGUAUGCACUGGACUUAGGAUCCUGUUAAAUAGAGUAGUUC